rnacentral:tRNA from 1 species
GGUUUACUAGCUCAGUUGGUAGAGCACAUGACUUUUAAUCAUGGCUUACCGGGGUUCGAUUCCCCGGUAAGCCACCA